rnacentral:rRNA from 1 species
UCCAGACUCCUACGGGAGGCAGCAGUGGGGGAUAUUGCACAAUGGGGGAAACCCUGAUGCAGCGACGCCGCGUGAGUGAAGAAGUAUUUCGGUAUGUAAAGCUCUAUCAGCAGGGACGAAAUUGACGGUACCUGAGUAAGAAGCCCCGGCUAACUACGUGCCAGCAGCCGCGGUAAUACGUAGGGGGCAAGCGUUAUCCGGAUUUACUGGGUGUAAAGGGAGCGUAGACGGUUAUGCAAGUCUGGAGUGAAAGGCGGGGGCUCAACCCCCGGACUGCUCUGGAAACUGUGUAACUGGAGUGCAGGAGAGGUAAGUGGAAUUCCUAGUGUAGCGGUGAAAUGCGUAGAUAUUAGGAGGAACACCAGUGGCGAAGGCGGCUUACUGGACUGUAACUGACGUUGGGGCUCGAAAGCGUGGGGAGCAAACAGGAUUAGAUACCCUUGUA